UCAGUUGCAUGCAGAACUAAGUGACUGCAGAUCUCACUGGGGUCUGCACUGCUCCAACAAGCUUAUCACGUGAAGGAUUCUUUGGACCCGGCGAGAAAAGAGAAAGAGCUCAGAAGCAUUUCUUCACCCAGACUCACCAGUAAGUUACUUCAUAUUUCCUCUACAAAGGGGGCAGAAUGAGUGAGAAAAGUCUAGAUGAGUGGUCUGGAUGAGUGAGAGCAGAUGUGGAAUAGAGGUCCAGAGUGUUAUUCUAGUGGAAAUUCCUUCAGGGAAACACAAAGCCAUGGAAGCAUGAGGCCUAUGAAUUCACCUAUGCAUGGUCUCUUCUUUCAGAGAGUGGCAUUUGAGAUAUCACCAUCUUCCGCAACUUAUCUUUCCUGGUUUGAGUUAUACAGUCAGCUGAGGUGUAGAAAAUCCACUAUGGGAAGUAAAUCCAAUAACUUAUUGGGGAGAAACUUCUCUUCAUUUGGGCUGCCACGUGAAAAACUUGGGCCCCAUGGGGAUCUUGGAUAAUAGUUGUGAUUGAUGUCCAGUUAAAGCCCUUCCCACGCCAUCUUUCUUCUUCUUCAUGAAAGACUGUUUGAAAAGACUCAUGUGGAACAAGAACAGUGUGAGACACACAGAAGAGUCUCAGCCAAAUUUGAAGAUGAAAAAAGGAGAGAAAUCUAGACUGCCCCAGAGGAGACUCCUUGUUUUUUCAAACUUAUCUGGACACUAUCAAUACUAAUGCACAAUGGGAAUUAGAAAUUUAC
rnacentral:lncRNA from 1 species